GAUGAACGCUGGCGGCGUGCUUAACACAUGCAAGUCGAACGAUGAAGCACCUUCGGGUGUGAAUUAGCGGCGAACGGGUGAGGAACACGUGAGAAAUCUGCCUUCAACACUGGGAUAACUCCGGGAAACCGGGGCUAAUACCGGAUAUGAAACCUGCGGGCAUCCGCGGGUUUGGAAAGUUUUUCGGUUGAAGAUGAUCUCGCGGCCUAUCAGCUUGUUGGUGAGGUAAUGGCUCACCAAGGCGACGACGGGUAGCCGGCCUGAGAGGGCGACCGGCCACACUGGGACUGAGACACGGCCCAGACUCCUACGGGAGGCAGCAGUGGGGAAUAUUGGGCAAUGGAGGAAACUCUGACCCAGCGACGCCGCGUGCGGGAUGAAGGCCUUCGGGUUGUAAACCGCUUUCAGCAGGGAAGAAGCGAAAGUGACGGUACCUGCAGAAGAAGCACCGGCUAACUAUGUGCCAGCAGCCGCCGUAA
rnacentral:rRNA from 1 species